rnacentral:rRNA from 1 species
UACGGAGAGUUUGAUCCUGGCUCAGGACGAACGCUGGCGGCGUGCUUAACACAUGCAAGUCGAACGAUGAUGCCCAGCUUGCUGGGUGGAUUAGUGGCGAACGGGUGAGUAACACGUGAGUAACCUGCCCCUGACUCUGGGAUAAGCGUUGGAAACGACGUCUAAUACUGGAUAUGAUCACUGGCCGCAUGGUCUGGUGGUGGAAAGAUUUUUUGGUUGGGGAUGGACUCGCGGCCUAUCAGCUUGUUGGUGAGGUAAUGGCUCACCAAGGCGACGACGGGUAGCCGGCCUGAGAGGGUGACCGGCCACACUGGGACUGAGACACGGCCCAGACUCCUACGGGAGGCAGCAGUGGGGAAUAUUGCACAAUGGGCGAAAGCCUGAUGCAGCAACGCCGCGUGAGGGAUGACGGCCUUCGGGUUGUAAACCUCUUUUAGUAGGGAAGAAGCGAAAGUGACGGUACCUGCAGAAAAAGCACCGGCUAACUACGUGCCAGCAGCCGCGGUAAUACGUAGGGUGCAAGCGUUGUCCGGAAUUAUUGGGCGUAAAGAGCUCGUAGGCGGUUUGUCGCGUCUGCUGUGAAAUCCCGAGGCUCAACCUCGGGCUUGCAGUGGGUACGGGCAGACUAGAGUGCGGUAGGGGAGAUUGGAAUUCCUGGUGUAGCGGUGGAAUGCGCAGAUAUCAGGAGGAACACCGAUGGCGAAGGCAGAUCUCUGGGCCGUAACUGACGCUGAGGAGCGAAAGCAUGGGGAGCGAACAGGAUUAGAUACCCUGGUAGUCCAUGCCGUAAACGUUGGGCGCUAGAUGUAGGGACCUUUCCACGGUUUCUGUGUCGUAGCUAACGCAUUAAGCGCCCCGCCUGGGGAGUACGGCCGCAAGGCUAAAACUCAAAGGAAUUGACGGGGGCCCGCACAAGCGGCGGAGCAUGCGGAUUAAUUCGAUGCAACGCGAAGAACCUUACCAAGGCUUGACAUACACCGGAAACGGCCAGAGAUGGUCGCCCCCUUGUGGUCGGUGUACAGGUGGUGCAUGGUUGUCGUCAGCUCGUGUCGUGAGAUGUUGGGUUAAGUCCCGCAACGAGCGCAACCCUCGUUCUAUGUUGCCAGCGGGUUAUGCCGGGGACUCAUAGGAGACUGCCGGGGUCAACUCGGAGGAAGGUGGGGAUGACGUCAAAUCAUCAUGCCCCUUAUGUCUUGGGCUUCACGCAUGCUACAAUGGCCGGUACAAAGGGCUGCGAUACCGUAAGGUGGAGCGAAUCCCAAAAAGCCGGUCUCAGUUCGGAUUGAGGUCUGCAACUCGACCUCAUGAAGUCGGAGUCGCUAGUAAUCGCAGAUCAGCAACGCUGCGGUGAAUACGUUCCCGGGCCUUGUACACACCGCCCGUCAAGUCAUGAAAGUCGGUAACACCCGAAGCCGGUGGCCUAACCCUUGUGGAAGGAGCCGUCGAAGGUGGGAUCGGUGAUUAGGACUAAGUCGUAACAAGGUAGCCGUACCGGAAGGUGCGGCUGGAUCACCUCCUUU